CAAAGGCUUGGUCCUGACUUUAUUAUCAGCUUUAGCCAAACUUACACAUGCAAGUAUCCGCGCCCCUGUGAGAAUGCCCUACUGUUCCCCGCCCGGGAACAAGGAGCUGGUAUCAGGCACUACCCUAUUAAGCCCAUGACGCCUUGCUUAGCCACACCCUCAAGGGAACUCAGCAGUGAUAAACAUUAAGCCAUAAGUGAAAACUUGACUUAGUUAAAGCUAAGAGGGUCGGUAAAACUCGUGCCAGCCACCGCGGUUAUACGAGAGACUCAAGCUGACAAACACCGGCGUAAAGCGUGGUUAAGCUAAAAAUUUGCUAAAGUCAAACACCUUCAAGACUGUUAUACGUACCCGAAGGCAGGAAGCACAACCACGAAAGUGACUUUAACUAAGCUGAAUCCACGAAAGCUAAGGAACAAACUGGGAUUAGAUACCCCACUAUGCCUAGCCCUAAACAUUGAUGGUACAACACAACCACCAUCCGCCCGGGUACUACGAGCAAUAGCUUAAAACCCAAAGGACUUGGCGGUGCUUUAGAUCCACCUAGAGGAGCCUGUUCUAGAACCGAUAACCCCCGUUCAACCUCACCUCUUCUUGUUUAACCCGCCUAUAUACCGCCGUCGUCAGCUUACCCUCUGAGGGAUUAGUAGUAAGCAAAAGUGGCACAGCCCAAAACGUCAGGUCGAGGUGUAGCGAAUGUAGAGGAAAGAAAUGGGCUACAUUCGCUGCCACAGCGAAUACGAAUGAUGCACUGAAACACACAUCUGAAGGAGGAUUUAGCAGUAAGCUGGAAAUAGAGCGUCCCGCUGAAACUGGCCCUGAAGCGCGCACACACCGCCCGUCACUCUCCCCAAAACCACCAACCAAUUAAUUAAACCCUAAUAGCCACAAAGGGGAGGCAAGUCGUAACAUGGUAAGUGUACCGGAAGGUGCACUUGGAAAAAU
rnacentral:ncRNA from 1 species